CGGAGGCAUGGCUGCCGGAAG
rnacentral:misc_RNA from 1 species